rnacentral:rRNA from 2 species
AGGAAGCGAGAAGUCGACGCGCCGGCCCCCCGCGAGGGGGGCGAGGCGUCCGGCCCUCCGCGAGCACUCGCGUGGGUGUGGGCUACGGACCCCGUCCGUUCCCGUUCCCACCGCGGGGCUGUCCGCGAUCAUGGAGGUGUCCUCGGACGGCGUCGAAUCACUCGAAGUUCUCCGGUCCGCGACGCUACGGCUUGGAUGGUCCACCCGACCCGUCUUGAAACACGGACCAAGGAGUCUAACAUGCGCGCAAGUCGUUGGGUCGGACACGCUCCGCUAAACCCAUAGGCUCAAUGAAAGUGAAGGCCGCCGUUCGGGCGGCCGAGGGAGGACGGGGCCGGCCGGGCGCUCCGGUGCUCGGCGGUCCCCGCACCCCCGGGGCGUCUGAUCCCUCAUCGCGAGGGGAGGCGCACCCAGAGCGCACACGUUGGGACCCGAAAGAUGGUGAACUAUGCCUGGCCAGGACGAAGUCAGGGGAAACCCUGAUGGAGGUCCGUAGCGAUUCUGACGUGCAAAUCGAUCGUCGGAGCUGGGUAUAGGGGCGAAAGACUAAUCGAACCAUCUAGUAGCUGGUUCCCUCCGAAGUUUCCCUCAGGAUAGCUUGCGCUCGGAGGAGAGUCUCAUCCGGUAAAGCGAAUGAUUAGAGGCCUUGGGGCCGAAACGGCUUCAACCUAUUCUCAAACUUUAAAUGGGUGAGAACUCCGGCUUGCUCGACCGAUCGAAGCCGGAGACGGGGGCGUCCCUCGGGGCGGACCCCCGGGAUCGGAGUGCAUAGUGGGCCACUUUUGGUAAGCAGAACUGGCGCUGUGGGAUGAACCAAACGACGGGUUAAGGCGCCCGAAUCGACGCUCAUGGGAAACCAUGAAAGGUGUUGGUUGCUUAAGACAGCAGGACGGUGGCCAUGGAAGUCGGAAUCCGCUAAGGAGUGUGUAAUAACUCACCUGCCGAAGCAACUAGCCCUGAAAAUGGAUGGCGCUGAAGCGUCGUGCCUAUACCCGGCCGUCGCGGCAGGGCGGACCCGGCCCCGCGUCGGGUGCCGCUUGAUGCGGCGACGAGUAGGAGGGUCGCGGCGGCGAGCGCAGAAGGGUCUGGGCUCGAGCCUGCCUGGAGCCGCCGCCGGUGCAGAUCUUGGUGGUAGUAGCAAAUACUCCAGCGAGGCCCUGGAGGACUGAUGUGGAGAAGGGUUUCGUGUGAACAGCCGUUGCACACGAGUCAGUCGAUCCUAAGCCCUAGGAGAAAUCCGACGCCAACGGCGACGGGAAAAAUUUGAAACAGGAAGAAACCCGUUGAUCGGGCGAAAGGGAAUCCGGUUCCUAUUCCGGAACCCGGCAGCGGAACCGCUGUUUGUCGGGCCCUCACAAGGGGUUCGUCAGGGUAACCUAAAAGGGCCCGGAGACGCCGUCGGGAGCCCCGGAAAGAGUUUUCUUUUCUGCAUGAGCGUUCGAGUUCCCUG